AUUGAACGCUGGCGGCAGGCCUAACACAUGCAAGUCGAGCGGGGUUUUCGGACCUAGCGGCGGACGGGUGAGUAAUGCGUAGGAAGCUACCCGACAGAGGGGGAUACCAGUUGGAAACGACUGUUAAUACCGCAUAAUGUCUACGGACCAAAGUGUGGGACCUUCGGGCCACAUGCUGUCGGAUGCGCCUACGUGGGAUUAGCUAGUUGGUGAGGUAAUGGCUCACCAAGGCGACGAUCCCUAGCUGGUUUGAGAGGAUGAUCAGCCACACUGGAACUGAGACACGGUCCAGACUCCUACGGGAGGCAGCAGUGGGGAAUAUUGGACAAUGGGCGAAAGCCUGAUCCAGCCAUGCCGCGUGUGUGAAGAAGGUCUUCGGAUUGUAAAGCACUUUAAGUUGGGAGGAAGGGUAGUAACCUAAUACGUUGCUACUUUGACGUUACCGACAGAAUAAGCACCGGCGUAACUUCGUGCCAGCAGCCGCGGUAAAGUC
rnacentral:rRNA from 1 species